AAUAUUGGACAAUGGGCGAAAGCCUGAUCCAGCCAUGCCGCGCGUGUGAAGAAGGUCUUCGGAUUGUAAAUCACUUUAAGUUGGGAGGAAGGGUUGUAGUUUAAUACCCUGCAAUUUUGACGUUACCAACAGAAUAAGCACCGGCUAACUUCGCGCCAGCAGCCGCGGUAAUACGAAGGUUGCAAGCGUUAAUCGGAAUUACUGGGCGUAAAGCGCGCGUAGGAGGUUCGUUAAGAUGGAAGUGAAAGCCCCGGGCAUAACCUGGGAAUUGCUUUCAAAGCUGACGAGCUAGAGUACGGUAGAGGAUAGUGGAAUUUCCUGUGUAGCAGUGAAAUGCGUAGAUAUAGGAAGGAACGUCAGUGGCGAAGGCGACUACCUGGACUGAUACUGACACUGAGGUGCGAAAGCGUGGGGAGCAAACAGG
rnacentral:rRNA from 1 species